AGAACGAACGCUGGCGGCAGGCUUAACACAUGCAAGUCGAACGCUCGUAGCAAUACGGGAGUGGCAGACGGGUGAGUAACGCGUGGGAACAUACCCUCCGGUUCGGAAUAGCUCAGGGAAACUUGGAUUAAUACCGGAUACGGCCGAGAGGCGAAAGAUUUAUCGCCGGAGGAUUGGCCCGCGUUCGAUUAGCUAGUUGGUGAGGUAACGGCUCACCAAGGCGAUGAUCGAUAGCUGGUCUGAGAGGAUGAUCAGCCACAUUGGGACUGAGACACGGCCCAAACUCCUACGGGAGGCAGCAGUGGGAAUAUUGGACAAUGGGCGCAAGCCUGAUCCAGCCAUGCCGCGUGGGUGAUGAAGGCCCUAGGGUUGUAAAGCCCUUUCGGCGGGAAGAUAAUGACGGUACCGCAGAAGAAGCCCGGCUAACUUCGUGCCAGCAGCCGC
rnacentral:rRNA from 1 species